UACGAAGGGUGCAAGCGUUACUCGGAAUUACUGGGCGUAAAGCGUGCGCAGGCGGUUAUGCAAGACAGAUGUGAAAUCCCCGGGCUCAACCUGGGAACUGCAUUUGUGACUGCAUGGCUAGAGUACGGUAGAGGGGGAUGGAAUUCCGCGUGUAGCAGUGAAAUGCGUAGAUAUGCGGAGGAACACCGGUGGCGAAGGCGGCUCUCUGGACCGGAUCUGACGCUGAGGCGCGAAAGCGUGGGGAGCAAACAGG
rnacentral:rRNA from 1 species